AUCAGUGUUAUUCAUCUAUCAUUUCCCUCUGAUUUUUGGGAUAACUUAUGGGUAGGGUUAGGUUUAGGGGUAGGAAUAGAGUUAAAGGUCCUAUGACAUGCUACUUUUUGGAUGCUUUUAUAUAGGCCUAAGUGGUCCCUAGUACUGUAUCUGAAGUCUCUUUCCCGAAAUUCAGCCUUGGUGCAGAAUUUCAGCCACUACAAGCCAGUCCCACAAUGAGCUUUCCUCAGGAUGUGCCGUUUCUGGGUCUGUAGCUUUAAAUGCUAAUGAGGAGGAGAGAGGCGGGGCAAGGUGGAGGGUGGGUGUGGCCUUAACCAGCUUGCGGCCACGGUACCAUGCGCUAAUGUUGACAGUGGUUGUAUCGCAAUGGCUCGUAGACAAGCAGUCAUUCAAGCUUUCAGUUUGACCCAGAAUCUAAUCCGGAUGAAGAAGUUGCAACUCAGCGGCUACAGCAGGACAUCUCCGAAUGAACAUGGAGCCUGCAGCUGAACCAUCCAUCCAUCCAUCCAAAUGUGGGUGUUACGGACACAUACUCGGAGAACAGAUCAAAUCAAAGGAUGAUGUUUAUUGACAACAGCAGAAGGUGAAUACAACGAUGCAGAUGUAAUGGAUGGAUGGAUGACGGAGGGAUGCACACACACUCAAUGGAAGACAAUGGAACACAAAGACGAGGAGAACACGCUGGAGGAUCGUAGGAGAUAAGUACCAGGAGACUUGGAGAAAAUUUACACAGCGAAUACAAGGAGUUAGUCCAUUUCAUGCGAACGAGACCGGACACUGGAGUGAGGUGAGCCUGUGCCAUUUAUUCAGCCUAAAUGACGAAUGGCCUGCUCUACUCCUCCAUGUGGGUGGCACUCGUCAGUGGAGCAAGACCUACAUGUGUAGGUGAACUCCUUGGAUGCAUAACAUGUACAUACCUAUGUCUGAUGUGAAUGUGGGGCCCCAGGAUUCUGUCAAGCUAAGAUUACUCCGGGAUUCUUACAGAACGAGGAACAGUCCGGCUCCAGUGUGCAAUGAGAAUGAUAAAUGAGUACUGUACUUAAAUCUUGCCCUUCCCUCAGAUCAUCCAAAUAUUUUUCAUUCAGCUCAUCCAGUCACAAAGGACAAGCUUUCCUCUGUACAAAUAGGCACAAUUAGACGUUUCUGGAACCCAGGCCAAUGGCUACAUGGAUUUAGACUUGUUUCAGCUAUACAGGGUGUGAACUUAAGGAGUACCAAAUAAUUGGCGUACACCAGGGAAAUCACACUUAAUCCAAAGGUUCGCUGUUCUCAAGAGCUGGAAAAAUUCGGACUUGGUCAUAAGUGUGAAUCGCUUCCAGAAGGAGAGCGAAUGACCUGCAGGUUCAUUUCUACUAUGAAAUUCUGAUCCAUUGCUGACAUGCCAUUAAAACGCUAGCUAAACUAACACGGCUUGUGUUGGUGCUGGCCGACGCGGUCUGCUUGCUGUCCACGGCAGAAUAGAAAAGUGAUUGUUCUGAACACCUCCCUCACCACCCACUGCAGAUAUCUGACAUGCUAAUUAGGGAUGAUGUGGCAUAGUCAGCAAAAGGUUUCUGGUUCAAGAGCAAGUCAAGAUCAACCACCAUGCCAUUGUGCAAGAUCAUCAAAAAUGAAAGUUGUCAUUAUUUACUCACUCUCAAGUCGUUCUAAACCUCUAUUACUGACUUUCUUCUGUGGAACUCAAAAGUAGACGCUGUUCACUCUGUACUUUUGCACCAAGCCCCAAAAAACAAACAACAACAACAACAAAGCCUCAGUAAAUGUAAUCAAAUAUGACUCAUGCGCUACAUUUCAUGUCUUCUGAAGUCAUAUAAUAGCUUUGUGCGAGGAAGAGACUACACUUUAUGUGGUAUUCAAUGAAAAUCUUGAGAUGGUGGACAUGUUUAUUAACCUAAUUUUGGGUGGGUGUUAAUAUAGUUUGCAUUUUGUGAUGAUAUAUGGUCACCAUUCACUUUCAUGGAAAAAAGCAGCUUGGAGAAACAAUAACAGCUGGAUAACAGUUUUGAAAGACAUGAAAACAUGAAUAAUGACAGAAUUUUAGUUUUUGAUUGAACUAUUCCUUCAAUCCCAGAUUGCUCUAGGGGGAUGGAUAAAAGUGUCUGCUAAAUGACUACUUAAAAUCAUUGUAUCAUUGUGUCUUAUGUGUAUCUAAGACACAUGGAAAUCCUACUGAAUUCUCACAGUCUGGAUGGCAGAGAAAAAUAUUCAGGCGCUGUGAUGAUAGUGAAGGGUGAGAGAGUUUGGAGAUUAUGAUUUAAUAAGAGCCAGGAAAUCUUUGUCAAACCCCCUCAAGGGGAUGAAAAGCUGUGGUGUUCUGUGGCAGACAGCAGGAUCUCAGACGGUGAGACACAGGGAUGAAAGGCCAUCUAUAUUAGCAUCACAGGUCGCAAACCACAGCCAAAGCCACUGUCUGAGGUGGGGAUACACUGUUCUGAAGCCUCUUCCAUCAUUCCCAGAGAGAAAAAUAUAUGGGAAACCGCACAUUGCAGGAUGUUGACACAUCUUACUACUCAACCAAUACUUUCUGGAGUCCAAAAGCACAUUUUUCAAUCUACUCAACUGUUUGUCAACCAAGUGUGCCGCACAAGUCCUGAAAAGUGAAGCCAAAUGUUUCGAUCGCCCCCAGGUGGAUGGAUGCAGUGUAGUUAAUAAAUUCUGCUCUUUCUGUGUAAUCUAAUGGGAUAUGAGACAAACUAAAUCAAAUUACACUUCAAAUAAUUUUUUUAGGUAUAAGUUUGAGUGUUCGUUUUUUAAAUAAGUUUGGGAUUAGUUUCUGAUGCUAUAAAAACAGGACGUCAUGAUUGACAGUUUUUCUGAGUCCAAGAUGUCAGCGCCAUAUUUGGACAUUGGCGGCUUCACAUUUCUACAAUGGAAGAGAGUGAAAGUGCGUUGUCCUUUUUUUUUUUCUUUACAAGUCUAUGUUGUCAACGCACAACACUGUAUUAGAAAAAACCUUGGAGAAACACUGAAAGUAUGAAUUUACAUUCAUGCAUGAAUAUAUUUACUUCAGAAGCUCAAAUGAAGUAGCAAACAGGAUGUAGAAUUACAAUUCGGAUUUGAAAGGAAGUGGAAGUAAAAUGAUUAGAAAUUCAAAUAAUUUGUUGGCGCUGAUGGCCUUGUGGGCAGUGAUCCGACAUGUAGCGCGAUUGUACUUUGGUGAACCGAGUUUAAGUUCUGGCUUGUGGUCCCUUCCCGACCCACCCCCUCUCACUGCCAUUUCACUUCCUGUCCUCUGUCCACCUAUGCUAUCCAAAUUAAAGCAAAAAUCACAAAAAUAAAUCUAAAUAAAAAAGAGAAGAAAUUUAAAAAAAUCAUAUAAAUAACUAAUUUUAUAUCGAUAGACAGACAGACCAACUGACCCCUGGAUAUGUGGUAUUUUAAGAGAAGCAGAGCUCUACAGGUUCACAAUGAGCAACUCACAAGGGUUCAUACAUUUUUUUUUUUUCAAACUUGACUGACACCUUCCACCCCACCCAUCUGACAGAAACUAAUGUAUGAAGGAUUAUUGCACCAGACUGUGAGCUCCAUUUCUCAAAGUGUGGGUGUGUUGUGGUUUAGGGGUGGGACUCUGUGCGUGAGCAUUUGGAAUGAAUUAUAGUUUGCUCUCACCUCUGUGCACACAUACGCUCUUGACCAAAAAAUGAUCAAAAGAACUUAGGAGGUCCAUGUUGGACAUCUUUCAUUUGAAGCGUGCUUUUUAGUGUUUCCUGCACGCAGAAGGGUUUAGUCAUUCAUAUACACGUGAGUGUGAAUGGUCAAGAUUCCAUUUUGGGAAUCGGAUCAUUGACAAAUUUUUGAACGGGCGGUAAGAGGAAACUUCGAGCCACGGUGUGGGAUCAACAUCUCAUUUCCCCAAGCUUCUGGAAAAUGUGCUCUCUCCUCCAUUUCCUGGAGGUGAGGUUUUCAUUCCCUCUCUGCUCUUAAACCUCACCCUUUCACAGGACCUCCAGUUGAGAUUAAAUAGAUGCAAUUGAAAAAACAGUGGGUUUGUUACCAGCACAAAAGUCCAACUGCCAGUUGGACCUCGAAAGUGGAACAAAUACAGAUCCCGAGAGGCCGGUAUCCCACACCAGACGUUACUGUUCCAGCUCUUUAAUUGUUGUUCUGACUUCCAUUUAGCUUACAAGAACUUGCCGUAUCAAUGCCAGGCUUCUUCAUGGACUAACUUCUACAAUUGUGCAAUUUCUUCAAAAGGCUUUAGCUAUUUUGACCUAUCGUGACACCAGUACUACAUCACUUUGGUUUGCCCUAGGGAUUCCCCUUGACCAGUCCUCAGAUCCCCGAUCCCAGUCCAGCACCAUUUGGAAGAUUAGGCUCUGUAUUGUCCGAUGCGCACAUUGUGUAAGGCAACACGCCUAGCCCCGGUCUCACCCUGACUCUUAAAGGCCUGUAAAAGCUCUGUGUAAACAGCUAAAGGAAUGAAAUCUUACCACCAUCAUACUCACAAAGAGAGAUAGACACAGUCUGGGGUGAAAGCGAGAGAGAGGAAAAAACAUAGGAUGGUGUGUGUGGGGGUGGGGGGCAUGAGAGAUGAAGAGGAGGACAGGGAAUGAGAAACAUUCAGGGAUCACUGAAAGCACUUUGCCAUUUUGGUUAUUUACUGAUUAUUGUCAUGAUGACAGACGGAACAGAGAUGCAAUGGGGAGAUGUAAAAUGUGGAAACAUCUUUGCUGGAAAAGGGAAUAUGGUGGGAUUUUAAUCUUUAAUUGUUCACUAGGGAGGGAGCAACAAUUGUGGGCAAUAACUUUGAAUGAUGGCAGGGUGGUCCAGCCAGCAUGUGCAGCCUCUCUGGAAAUUAACCGUGAAAUGGCAGAAGAAAAAUGCCAUAAAAACAACAGAAAACCCAGAAGAAGCAACAAUGGAUAUGAACUUUGAAGAGUGCUUGUACAAGGAGGUAAGAAGAUGCCUGCAUUUGUACAACUUGAGUUUGAAAAAGUAUAAAGAUGUCUUCUUUGUCCUUCAAAGCAGAAAGACAAAACUCCGUACUGUCCUCUGCAGGUCAGGUGAAGUAUCACACAGCAAUUUUAGUGCAUAUAAGGUGUUACAAGAGAACAAGCAAUAACAUUCAGUGAAAAUCUAUUACCAGAGACAUAACUCACAUUUAAUAUAUCAGUGGACAUUAAUUAAGCCAUGACCAAACCAACAAGUGUUUUGACUUCAAACACAAUAUUUACCUUUUUAGACAAUGUCUCAAACUUCAUAACGGCAGGACUAUUGGCAGCAGACUGCUAUGUGGGUUCCUCUCAUGAGCGAGACAAAGCGAUUAGCCAACAGCCCUCAACAACCCCCAUAUGAAUAAUCAGACCUUACAGAUUUCAGAAGGAAAAACAAACAUGACGAGACAAGAAGUUGUACAAUGCCACUGAACCAUGAGCAGAGGCCUCAUUACUGACAAUCAAAGUCUCUAUUGGUAAGUACAGGCAAAAUAAGACCUUGUUCCUGCUCUAUGGCUGGAGGAAGGAGGGAGGGAGCAGGUUUUUCCCUUCACUAUCACGUGCAGAGCGCCAGAUGUGCCAAAACUGUGAAGGAGGAGGAGCAUAAAUCUAAGCCAGGCCUGGAGUCGGACAGGAGGGUUAAGACAAUACUUCUGCCCAUACUUUCAUCUGCAUCCUGUCCUCCUAUUUUCUCACAACCUUCACAUCUUCGUUUCCUGUGCAUUUCUUGUGGCGAGGUCCACUUCUGCCUCCACCUAACGAGGGAAUGAAUGACGAAACAAGCCUGGAGACAAUUUAACAUUGGCAGUGAACCAUUUCAGCUGCAACUCAUAACAAGGAAUUCGUGUCAUUCGUUGUGGAUGAGAUAUGAAGCGGGAAUGUCACGACAUGAUAUGAUUCGAAUCACAAGUCUGACAUCCUGAACGUUGAUUCCUUAAGUGAGUUACGAUGUAAUACGGGACCAUUGUUAGGAGAGCGGAUAGAGAGGGCGAAGCCUGCCAGAGAAGGUGAGAAACAGUCGUUUCUAAUUGCCACAAAACUCAUAAAUGUGAUUUAAUUCGAGGAAGGCAGACGGAAUGAUUUUCACAUCUGUUCCAGUCGUAAACAGACCAGAAUUAAAGCAAAUUUACAGCUAAUGAGCUGUUUAAAUAUCUGGGGCUCUCCCAAACACCACUGAAAAACAAAAAAAAAAUGGAUAGAUGGACUAAACCCAGACAAUUACACCUUCAAGAACUCAUUUCCACCUGUUCUAUUGCAUUCCUGCAAUCACGCCAAACCAUAUAAAAGGGCUUGUGUGUCUUGUGUGGCCAGGCUAGACGUAAUGACUGUCUGAUUAUUCAUGCACUAAAAUAUCCAAAAGUUGAGGAAAACAAAGAGGCGUCUGCUGACCGGAGGAGAACGCUUCCAAUUAAUCAGAUUGUAUCGUACUAACAAGUACAGGGAGCAAAACUCUGACCGUUGGCUCAAUUAAGAAUGUAAAUUCAUCCACACUGAUUUGAACAGAAGUCUGGAAGUCUAGCAAUGCACCUGGGAUGUGUAGACGGCUCUCGAGAACUCAUUACUUACUUCAAAGUGACAGAAAAAUGUGGGCAAACACAGCUUUUAUAAAUCAUGAAGACAUUCACAAGAGGUCUUGCACUCAAAAUACAACUGUUGAGAUUGUUAUUAGUGAAAACAAGUGGUAGAGAAUGAGUACGGUGAGGAGUGUCCUGCUCAUAUUUACCAGGUUUCUGGAAGUGUUGUUUGUGAAAAACAGUUAUAAUGGCACGGGCAAUAAUAUGAAGACGUACAGAGUCAUCUGAGUGACCAAAUCAGCCACCCUUGUACGGUAAAUCAUAUGGUCAGACCCUCAUACCCUUCCCGUAAUAUGAAUCACCUGUGUCAGCAACCUGGAGUGAACAGUGCUGGCCUACAAACCUGAUCUUUAAUGGCUUUAAAUAGCACUUUGUGCCAUGUUCCACUUCUGCUGACAUCCUGUGUCUCCAGUAAAAGGCGAGGUCUAGAAAAGGAGGGUGCUUUGUACUCAAAGACUGAGAGAACUGUCGUGACAGAUACUCUGUUUUCCACGGAAAUGAUUCUGGUACUUGGCUGUUGAGAUCUGAGAGCCAAAUGACGCCAUAAGUGACUACGUUACUACAUAUCCAGCUAACAAGUGAAUCUAGGUUUUUGUUUACGAGUCUUAAGGCCUGUUCACAACAAGAAUGAUAACUAUAACGAUAACUAUAUUUACGUCCACAUCAACGAACAAUAAUGGUCUGUUUAUUCUAAGCUCACGCUGCAGUUUCAGUGUUUACAGCAUGUUUUGCUGUUCUUGUUGCAUUUAAAUGGCUUUAACCAGCAGAUGUCCUCAGCAUGCUAUGUUUUGAGUGAAUAGCUAGUGUAAUCGAUCUAAUCUAACAGUGAAUUCAGCUGACGAAGUCAAUAUAGUGGAAUAAAAACAACAAGUCUUUUUCGCUGCAACUUCAAAGGAAGCAAGACAACGUUGUUUAAACUAGAGCUGGAUACCCGAGGUAAUUUUAUGUUACACUGUUUGCUAGUCUGGCAUAAUGAUCUCAUCGUUAAUACUUCUCACCAUUUAUUCCGAGGAUAUGACCGAUUGCUUUCCAUAUAUCCUUGAAAAAGUAUCUUUGAAAAAGGGGUUUGACUUGUCAAACAGAGGUGGCUUUUUCUGGAACUCUGCGAUUAACUUCUACGCAAUAUCGUCUACCAUUUUAAAUGCGCGAACCCUUAAAUUAGAAUGGAUUAGAACUAUAUCUUUAUUGUUAUCUUUAUAGUUAUCGUUCUUGGUGUGAAUGGGCCUUUAGUUUAUAUAAGACGUUAAAAAAAGAGAGA